rnacentral:lncRNA from 1 species
UUAGAGUUGGACAGAGGACGCCCUGUGCGUGUGGCGGGUCUAUGCGUAUCUCGAACAAGGUUUAUAAAAAAAAUAAAAAAAAAUAUACGCUUUUCCGCAAACUUUGUUUUGAAAUAAAAGGGAUUUCUCAAAUUUAGCUUUUCAAAAAGGCUCCGGGGCGUGAUAAAUUAAGUUGAUAUUAGAGCCAAUUACUAGCUGGAAGUAUGAGAAGAGUCUCGACUGAGCCAUAAUUAUACAACGGGAAGAACAAGGCUUUCAUACUGUUGACUGUUGUGAGUGGAGCACAGCUCACCACAGGAUCAAUUUAGGCUAACGAGACGAGUCUCAUAUUGCCUGAUACUUGUGUAUCUAAGACUGAUGAGGACGUCAGGGCUUAAAGGGGGGAGAAUGUGAGACCUCGAAUAGUUUUACAUAUAAGAUAUAAUAUGACUAAAACUCUUAACCUAGCUUAAGUAUUUUGGGCGAUGGCUAGACCCAAGAGGUUGAAAGAGUUAAGCGUGCUAGAACGGGAGUAGUCCAGUUAAGAGACUUAAGCGUGCUAGGACGGGAGUAGUCCUAAGAUGGGUGA